GAUGAACGCUGGCGGCGUGCUUAACACAUGCAAGUCGAACGAAGCGAGCAAGCGGAAGUUUUCGGAUGGAAGCUUGAUUGACUGAGUGGCGGACGGGUGAGUAACGCGUGGGUAACCUGCCUCAUACAGGGGGAUAACAGUUAGAAAUGACUGCUAAUACCGCAUAAGCGCACAGUACCGCAUGGUAUGGUGUGAAAAACUCCGGUGGUAUGAGAUGGACCCGCGUCUGAUUAGCUAGUUGGUGGGGUAACGGCCUACCAAGGCGACGAUCAGUAGCCGACCUGAGAGGGUGACCGGGCACAUUGGGACUGAGACACGGCCCAAACUCCUACGGGAGGCAGCGGUGGGGAAUAUUGCACAAUGGGGGAAACCCUGAUGCAGCGACGCCGCGUGAGCGAAGAAGUAUUUCGGUAUGUAAAGCUCUAUCAGCAGGGAAGAAAAAUGACGGUACCUGACUAAGAAGCACCGGCUAAAUACGUGCCAGCCGCCGCGGUAAGAC
rnacentral:rRNA from 1 species